rnacentral:rRNA from 1 species
UGGGGAAUAUUGCACAAUGGGCGCAAGCCUGAUGCAGCCAUGCCGCGUGUAUGAAGAAGGCCUUCGGGUUGUAAAGUACUUUCCGUCGGGAGGAAGGUGGUAAGGUUAAUAACCUUAUCAAUUGACGUUACCGACAGAAGAAGCACCGGCUAACUCCGUGCCAGCAGCCGCGGUAAUACGGAGGGUGCAAGCGUUAAUCGGAAUUACUGGGCGUAAAGCGCACGCAGGCGGUUGAUUGAGUCAGAUGUGAAAUCCCCGGGCUUAACCCGGGAAUUGCAUCUGAUACUGGUCAGCUAGAGUCUUGUAGGGGAGGGUAGAAUUCCAUGUGUAGAGGUGAAAUGCGUAGAGAUGUGGAGGAAUACCGGUGGCGAAGGCGGCCCCCUGGACAAAGACUGACGCUAAGGUGCGAAAGCGUGGGGAGCAAACAGG